rnacentral:rRNA from 1 species
GGCGAAAUACGUGCAUGGGUGAGCGGGAAGACGUAGGGGGCUAGCGUGAUCCGGAAUUACUGGGCGUAAAGGGUGCGUAGGUGGUUUCUUAAGUCAGAGGUGAAAGGCUACGGCGCAACCGUAGUAAGCCUUUGAAACUGGGAAACUUGAGUGCAGGAGAGGAGAGUGGAAUUCCUAGUGUAGCGGUGAAAUGCGUAGAUAUUAGGAGGAACACCAGUUGCGAAGGCGGCUCUCUGGACUGUAACUGACACUGAGGCACGAAAGCGUGGGGAGCAAACAGGAUUAGAUACCCGGGUAGUC